rnacentral:rRNA from 1 species
UACGUAGGGUGCGAGCGUUGUCCGGAAUUAUUGGGCGUAAAGAGCUCGUAGGUGGUUUGUCGCGUUGUUCGUGAAAACUCACAGCUUAACUGUGGGCGUGCGGGCGAUACGGGCAGACUGGAGUACUGCAGGGGAGACUGGAAUUCCUGGUGUAGCGGUGGAAUGCGCAGAUAUCAGGAGGAACACCGGUGGCGAAGGCGGGUCUCUGGGCAGUAACUGACGCUGGAGGAGCGAAAAGCGUGGGGAGCGAACAGG